rnacentral:rRNA from 1 species
AUUGAACGCUGGCGGCAUGCCUUACACAUGCAAGUCGAACGGUAACAGGUUAAGCUGACUCGUGGCGAACGGGUGAGUAAUGUAUCGGAACGUGCCCAGUCGUGGGGGAUAACUGCUCGAAAGAGCAGCUAAUACCGCAUACGACCUGAGGGUGAAAGCGGGGGAGCGCAAGACCUCGCGCGAUUGGAGCGUCCGAGAUCAGAUUAGGUAGUUGGUGAGGUAAAGGCUCACCAAGCCGACGAUCUGUAGCUGGUCUGAGAGGACGACCAGCCACACUGGAACUGAGACACGGCCCAGACUCCUACGGGAGGCAGCAGUGGGGAAUUUUGCACAAUGGGCGCAAGCCUGACCCAGCAAUGCCGCGUGAGGGAAGAAGGCCUUCGGGUUGUAAACCGCUUUUGUUAGGGAAGAAAAGGUUCUGGCUAAUACCUGGGACUCAUGACGGUACCUGAACAAUAAGCACCGGCUAACUACGUG